rnacentral:lncRNA from 1 species
CUACUCACCACCGCCCUCUAAAGGUGUUACUGCACCUGUUAGAACUAACACUACUCACCACCGCCCUCUAAAGGUGUUACUGCACCUGUUAGAACUAACACUACUCACCACCGCCCUCUAAAGGUGCUACUGCACCUGUUAGAACUAACACUACUCACCACCACCCUCUAAAGGUGUCGCACUCAAUAUUAGAAACAGGUGGAUUUGUCCCCCAAAAAAAUGAUAUCAUUUCGCUCAGCUCAGAUGUACUUUUAAUGAGGAGACAGACCAGACCAAUCACGGAGCCGGUUGAGGAAUUAAGUUCCGCCUCUCAGGAGAAACAGCCAAUCAGCUUGCUGUUUUUGCGGCGCGCGGAGGAGUAUACAGCGAUUUUUGUAAACGAAAGCUGCCAUGAAACCUCUGGCUGAGGUUCAGCUAAUAACGGCCAGAGCCGGGGAAGGAGGGGCCAGCACGGACUCGGAUGGAUUCGACGAUCUGGAUUGGACAGUGUGGAAUAGAAUAACCCUGUGAUUGGACGUUGUGGACCUGAUAUGUCUGUGAUUGGACAAUAUGAAAUAGAAAAAAAAAAGACUGGUUAACAGUCUGAAAAUUAAAUCGUCCUGUUAUUGGACAGUGUGGAGUAGAAUCACACGUGAUUGGACAGUGUUGAGUAGAAAAACCCUGUCAAUGAACAGUGUUAAAUAACCCUGUGAUCGGACAGUGUGAAGUAGACCACUUGUGAUUGGACAGUGUGGAGUAGACUCACUUGUUAUUGGACAAUGUUGAGUCAAACAAUUCUGUAACUGGACAGUUUAAAAUGGACAAAGAUGUGUGAUUGGACACUGUGGAUAUAACGCUUUGAUUGGACAAUGGAAAACCUAGGAGGAAGAUGAAUUGGACCAUACAUAAGUAAGGUAACCCUGUGAUUGGACAGUUUUGGGAGUACAUGAGUAAGGUAACUCUGUGAUUGGACAGUUUUUGGAUUACACGCUGUUGUACAGGCUGGGACAGUGCUAAUGCUAAUGCCCCCCGCCUUUCUGGACUCCACCCCUCAGCCUCCACUUCCUCACCGGAGAGCAGCAGGUAGCGCUCAUCACACGCCUCCCUAAGCCCCGCCCAGUGUGGUGAUGGUCCUGGCAAUAAGUGUAGAAGUUGUGUAGAAGAAGUCGUGGAGUUCCUGUGGAGCAUCUUUAGAACUGCCCCGUAAUAAAUGUGACCUACUGUCAUCA